ensembl:lncRNA
AAUUGUCUCUGCUGCUGGGGAAAAGGUUCGUGAAGCUGCACCCCGAGUAAAGCAGCUGCUCACCUGCCAAGCAAGCUAUCAGCACAGCAUUUGCAUUGGAACUGAGAGAAAAAUCCCCAAGGAGCGUGUCUGGGCAGGUGAUUCCAUUGUCCUUAUUACUCAAGCAGCUAUUUCCACAGCCAUAGGCUUGCGACAGCACCUGGCAGCAGCUUCAUGGAGCGAUCCGAGAGUUACAAAACGCCUUCACAACAGCGGACAGAACCGCUCCAUUCAGCCCUCCUCAGCUGAGCUCCCUUUGGCUCCCACCCCCAAGCCACCCCCCUGGAACAGCCCUCCCCAUAUCACAAGGCCGCUCAGAUCACGCCAACAGAACCCAAACCCAAGGAAAUCACAAUAGGAUUCGAAAGCACUCAGGAAAGAGGCCAACCAGUGUUUUUUUCAUGGACAUUAAUAACAGCAGAACCAGGCCAUAAACCCAAUGCCAUAAUCCCCCAACCUUUACUCAGGUGUAGACGUAUGGACUGUGGCUUCACAUAUGUUUGCACAGCGCAUAACAGGCUGAAGGCAGCAUGGAGUAAUAAUUAUUUUAUUCCAGUCUAACACAGAGGACGUGGGCAACAUCCACCAGCACAGGACCCUGAGCACACAGAUAUAGUUGCCACUGCACUAACCAACCAGGGAAGCCAGCAUUUUCUCUCCCUGACAGAGCCGUAAUAAGGCAGGGGACCUGGGGAAGACAAAAAAGAAUGGGGCAGACAUGAACAGCAUCUCAGCACAAGAAAAGCAAAAGGAAAUGCAUCUUUUCCUCUCCCACUGCACGUAACAUUCCCUCAUGCUGAGGAUUUGGUACACAUGGGCAAGUAGAGCCAAAGAAAUUUGCUUAACAUUGUGGUGCAGAAAUGACAUGGUGCCACAGCUGUGCAUCUCUGUGCAGAGCCGAGCUGCCAGUGCAGAGCCACGUUCUGUACUGGAGUGCACAAGUCUGUAUUUCUAACCCCAGCUUCAUCAUGCUCCUCAAUCCUGUGUCUUUACUAGAAGUUUAAGAGCCCCUCAACUGAGAAAGCAGAAGUCCUAUUUGCAAAUGAACAUUUUAGCACUUAGGAAAUUGUCUAAUUAUAAGAACACAGAGCUUGAUGAAUAAAUGCCCCACGAGGGAAGUAAAGAGGACAAUGACAGGCUCUCCUCAGUGGUAUCCCAAGGGGCAAAGGGUAUUUUACAAUAAAGAAAACUCCAUUUAACCACAAAAAAAAACCAAAGUUGUUUUACUGUGAAGAUGGUCAAACACUGGAACAGGUUGCUCAGAGAGGUUGUGGAAUCUUCAUCCUUGGAGAUAUUCAGCAUGGGCAAGAUUGAACUGCUUUUGUCACCUCUCCUUUGAGCUGCAUGGGAAGGGGGAGGUGAACUAGAAGACCUUCAGAGGUCCCCACCAACCUCAGUAAAGUGGGGAUUGUGGCAAGCAUUCCCUGCAUUCUUUGUCCCCAGGAUACUGCCAUAAAACUGAAAAUGCAGCACUGCAUGGUAUGUCCCACUGCACCAGUAUGACUUGCCCAGGUCAGACAUCUCCAUGAAAGCGUGUGAGUGCAAAGUCAGACUAUAAGGGAUCAGAGGAUCUGCAUGAACUAAAUGCCUUCCUCAUCAAAAGAAAUGCAGAAAUCCAGGGAAACUAAACAAAAAGUUAACAAUGUGAAUGUUAGUUUGAAUAUUUAUAUAGACUUGACCCUUCCGUGCUCACACCUCUCACAUUAGCUUGCCAUGAGCUUUGGAAAGGUCAGAUUUUACUGGCAGAAGUGCCCAUGGAAAGCAAAAUUUACAUUUAUGUUUACUUCGGAGAUGUUUACACACUCAGCCAGUCAAGGAGACAAUAACAAUAUUAUGUGUAUUCUCUAGUAAAUUUCAGCUAACUGAUAUGAUCUGGGUACUGAUUUCUUUUUAUGUUAUGUUCAGUCAGUGC